AGUCGUAACAAGGUAUCCGUAGGUGAACCUGCGGAAGGAUCAUUACAAUACUUUUACAAGUAUCAACCCAAACUGUUGAACUGAAAGAGCGUCCGAUAGGAAAUGGAAGUGGUUUGAGAGAGCAGGCGGCUUUGUGAAGUGCUUCCGGCACUUCGGUCCGUUCUCGAUUUCUCUUCAUUCAUGUUAAAGAGAAAGCCCUUUUUUUCCUAGCUCGCGUAUUUUCUCAUUUUCUUUUUAACCCCUUUCACCAAACUACAAUUUAAACAAGUUAUUGAACUGAAUUCGAAGGAUGCUGAAAAAGCGUCUAUUUCGAUUCUAUCUUUACGAAACGUAAGAACAACUCUUAACAACGGAUAUCUUGGCUCUC
rnacentral:misc_RNA from 1 species